rnacentral:lncRNA from 1 species
CAGGUACAGAACUACAGUGUGUCAUUAUUAUAAAACAGCAAGUGGUCAAAUUUUUUUAUUAUUAUUAUUAUUAUUAUUAUUAUUUACAUUAAUUUAUGGGAGGGGAAAAAAUCAGGUAAUUACCCACUCUGGACUGUAGAGGGAAACAACAUCCUAUUCAUUGUCUUUCCAAACCCACUUAUUGUUGAUUCAAGUUGAUUCAGUGAUUUGCACUACUCAUCACCUCAGCGCUACACUGGGGAACCCUGAGAGUUCUGACUACAGUCUGAUAAUACUUACCUCUUAACGACAUAAGAUCUAGCGCUUAGCGUAGUUAGCAGUUAUGGUCUCUAGUAUGAAUGCCAUCUGAGCCAUUUUUUUGUGAAAGAAAGUGUUCAGGUAUUUCUAUAUAGCCCUGCUUUAGAUCACUGAAUGAGAGAUCUCUGAAGAAAAACAGGAUUUGGGCUCUUGCUCAUGAAUAAUCAUACAUGCCCACAUAUCACCUCUGAUUGGCUAACAGCACUGCAACAGAGAACGCCUACCAGCCUUCCCUCUAUAGUUAAUUUUACAGCUCUAAAACCAAAGGACAACAUUUUUUCAGAGAUACGCAGAAUCAACCGGAGAUCCGUUUUGAACCUAUAGUUACUUACACAAAGUAGCUAACGUUAACAAGCUUCUGUAAACAUAGCUGUAAUCUCUUUAGCUGACGAGACAGUGUCAACUCUGCUUCAGCUCUGCCUGUGGGCGGUCCUAAGCCAAGGUAGCUGAGCAGAGUUAGUCUGGAAGAAACAGAUGCAGAAAUGGCCUCAAACUGCUUCAUAUUCUUAACUGUGUGGAUACACCUCGUUUUAUCCGGAAUCAGAGCUGAAACAUCUUGCAGAAAUGAGCUUAUUAGCAGCAUCGAAAUCUCCACCAACCUGCAGUCUGAUGUUUUGCUGCCCUGUAACUUCAACCCAAGCCUCCUCGGAUCAGACCUGACUGCAGAUAUAGCAGCAGUGUGGAGUUAUAUAAAUAUAACAGAAGAUCCUUUUAUGGAGAUCAGUCUGAAGAGUGGAGUAAUGUUCUGGAAUAACAGAGAUGGACGAAUUAAUCCGUUCCCUAAACUCUCAACAUCUGGAAACUUCUCCAUCCUCCUCCAUAAAGUGAAUAAAUCUGAUCUGGGUCUGUACCGCUGUGAACUGUUUAACGAGACCAACUGCAGCAUCGCUUAUCAGGAGAUCCAUCUGAGACUUGAAGAGGCUGCUGCUGCUGCUGGUUCUGUGGGCUGGCUGGUCACAGCAGGAGCAGUAGGAGGAGGAGGAACUGUGCUGCUCGGUUUGGUCAUUAUCAUUUACUACUGUGCUAAACAAGAAGCAGAUGAUUACUCAGUAUAUACCACCGUCCUCUACACACUGCUAGACAACAAUAAGAAAGACGGACAACCAUAAGAAAGACGGUGUGUGAUGUCCUGAUCUUCAGCCAAUCAAGAACAGAGGACAAAUGGAGCUCCAUAUAUAUAUAUAUAUAUAUAUAUAUAUAUAUAUAUAUUGAUGGAUUCAUGCCAACAAGUUGCUCCACAGUUGCAAAGUUUUACCUGGAAUGUUGCUGAUUUCUCUGCACAGUGUUUUGUUACCUAGCAUUUUUACCCAUUUCCUGUAGUCUAUCAGCUUGAAGGUUGUGCUGAGAGCAGUGUAGUGUUGCUGUGCUAGUGGGAAAUCUUUUUGUUGCAGAGAUCUGUGCAAGCGCAGUAGCCAAAACAAAAUAAAAAAUCUCGCUUUUGUGCA